ACUGAGCAAAAGUGUGAGUUUUCAACAAUAGUGUAGGGGCACAAAUGAAACUUGCAAAUGACCUGGUAAUUCACUUUUGCCUUUUCUGAUUUAUGUGGAAGCUUUGCCACAUGCUUGAGAGUUCUCUGUUGAGCAGGAACAGCAAAAGACUGUUUUCCUCCAACUCCCGAUUUGAUUUCACAUGUGUCUUGUAUUCCUGAAAUACUUUAUCUUGGUAUGACAGAGCUUGCACGACAUGCCUGUUUCCAGUUCUUUUUGCCCUUGUAAUGAAUAAAAUCCAGUUGCACUCAUGGCCGAGUGCAGGUCUGAGUUUGUCCAUCUUCAAAUCUGCUAGCUAACUUGGCUAGUUUCUAACAUACAGAUGCAGUGCAGUUGCUAGCCUAUGCCUUAACAUUUCACCACCCAAUAGGUGUGGUGUGAUGGAAAAAUUUUUUUUUUUUUUAUGCGUCUGCCACUAAAUGGUGGAGCAUUAUGUAUGAUAUUGGGUUGUCUGUCUAUCCAUCCGCCUUUGCAUCCAUUCGAGAUUCUCGUUAGCGUGAUAUCUCAAGAACAAGUGGUUGAAUGUUUGCAGGAUUUGCAUGAAAUUAUUAUUAUAACAAGCAGACGAACUAAUUAGAUUUCAUAAUUGAUCCAAACAAGGUGGUCUUACUGUCACUUUUUAGAGUAAAGUAGAUUAGUUAUAGUCAUUGAAGAGAGUACAAGUUCAAAGCCAAUGAAAUACAGUUAGCAUCUAACCAGAAGUGCAAAACCGCAAGUCGCAUUAGGUGUAAAGUGCAAAGAGACAAUGAGGUAGGGUGGCAAUAACGUGCAAGUGAUGUACAAAUGAAAUAUAAAAAAACAUAAAACAUUAAAGUCCUCUUGCCUUCUCCCUCUUCUGCAUUUCUUCUCCCUGAUAUUCAACAGCUGCUCUCAAACACACAAGGGAGGAAAUGCCCUAGACCUGGUCUUCAGCUGCCCCUCUACAGCUACGGACAUCAAUGCUACCCCACUCCACAUCUCUGAUCAUCACUUCACCAUCAGCCUCCCUAUCCUGCCUAAAACCAGCUAUCAAUAUUUCUCUCCCACUUACUGAAACCUCGACUCUAUCUCCCCUUCCUCUUUCUUUUCUUUCUACAAUCCUUGAACGCACUGUCUACAAUCAGCUGUCUCUCUAGCUCUCACAGAACAACCUCAAAGAUCCAAACCAGUCUGGCUUCAAAUCGGCACAUUCCACAGAGACUUCCCUUUUGGUCGUCACUGAGAAGCUACAUGCUGCUAGAUCUGCCAAGCCGUCAUCAGGCCUCAUCUUCCUCAACCUUUCAGCAGCAUUUGACACAGUCAACCACAAGACUCUCUUGUCCAUCCUCAUGAGUCUUGGAAUUCAUGGCAUAGCGUGACAGUGGUUUGCUUCCUACCUGGAAGGUCAGUCAUAUCAGGUGAUGUGGAGGAGAUCCACAUCUGCUCCACGCAGACUCUCCACUGGUGUCCCACAAGGCUCAGUACUUGGUCCUCUUCUGUUCUCCCUCUAUACUCGAUCUGUUGGUGAGGUCAUAUCCUCACAUGGGUUUUCAUACCACUGCUAUGCGGAUGACACUCAACUCAUCCUCUCCUUCCCUUCCUCAGACACUCAUGUUUCCACUCAGAUCUCAGCAAGUUCCACUCAGAUCUCAUUAUUCAACCUCUGAAACUGAUCCAGAAUGCAGCUGCAUGACUUGUUUUCAAGCUUCCUAAGUUCUCUCACACCACCCUGUUGCUACGCUCCCUCCACUGGCUUCCUGUAGCUGCCCACAUCAGAUUUAAAACACUGAUGUUUGCCUACAAAGCCAAAAAUGGACUAGCACCCACCUACCUCAAAGCAAUUAUCAUACCCCGCACUACACCACACUCCCUCUGAUCUUCCAUCACCACUCGACUGGACCCACCAUCUCUCAGGGUACAAGGAAGGCAUGCAACAAGAUUGUUCUCUGUUCUGGCACCUAGGUGGUAGAACAAACUUCCCCUAUAUGUCCAAACAGCUGAGUCUCCGGCAGUCUUCAAAUGACAUCUAAAGACCUCUUCUGGAAGUAUUUAAAUUAGCACUUCAAUUUAAGAAAAAAAAACUGUGUUGUCUGUGUGCUUUUCUUACUAUAUUACCUCCCCAACAGAGUUUUUCAACUGAUGCUAUUCUUAGUCCAUGACCUAGUGAACCAGUAUCAGGAUGUAUUUAUUGAUAGAGACUUCAUCGCUCUGGAUAAGGGCAUCUGCCAAAUACCAUAAAUGUAAAUGUAAAAAGUUCAAAUUGUGCAAAUGGUAUGAUGUGUGAUUUGUCAGGCAAAUUUCAUGCUCCUUUUUUAACUUGUUACACAACACCCUCAAAAACAAAUUAAAGUCUCUUGAUGGCUUCCCUCAGGAUUACAACCUUCUGAGGUUGUCUGAUUGAGUGGGAAACAAAUAUUGCACAUGGCACGUAGUUACAGCUAAUUGAUGCAAAGGGUGUGUUGGUGCAUUAUGGAACAGAUGGGUGCUUCCUUGAUAUUUUUUCUUUUGCAGUUACAGUAAUUGAAUAAAGUCAGUGGAUUCAGUGGUCCACUGUAGGGACACCAACCAGCGGUGAGUUUUGCAGAAGCUUCAGCGAAAAGAUAAGCAUUAAAUAAUACAAUAUAGAACUUCCUAAUGAAUUCUCUACUUGUCAAAAUGUAAUCAUGUUAAUGUUAUAAGGCUUUUAGGAAACUGGGAUUAAUGUUGCACAGGUAUGAAAGAAAAGGUCUGACUGAAGCACUGUAUACUUUACGCAAUGCUAUUUAUGCACUCAGAAUAAUUCCUUAGCGCCAAAUCAUUUUUAAGGUGUCUGAACUGUAAAUGCUACAGUAUGUGCUAAAUUGGUGUUUAGCAAAUCUAACCUACAGCAGGUAAAUAAGUGGAACAGCAGCUGCUACCUCUCCCCCGGGUGCCAUCACCAAGCCAGGGAGACAUGGUAAACAAAGGUGCCUCCUGGCAUACCUGAUCUCUGUGGAUGAAAUGACGAAGAGCAUAGAGCACAAACACUUGCUGAUGAACAGUACUCAUCAGACGGUAAUCCAGGUUGGAUGGAGUUUCUGUACGCAAGGGUAAGCAACUGAUGCCGCUUUACAUUCGGGUGUCAGGGUUACACAUGCUACGCGGUGCAAAUAAAACAGUAGUGUUGAACUGAAGACUGUCUUUAUGCAGUGCAGUGUUGUUACAAGCAGCUAAUGGGCUGAAGUUGGAAGAAGUUUGUAGGGUGUACACUGAGGGAUGGAUGUGAUGGAGAUGAGGGAGGCUCUGGGAGUCGAGGCGCUACGUGGACGCGACAUAGACAGUCUGGAGCCUCCAUCCAAUGUGGUGCGAGUGUUCAUCAGCUCAACAAUCUCAGAUCUUGACACUGAACGAAAUGCCUUUUGGGAAAAAGCCUAUCCUGAGUUACAAAGCUACUGUCAAAGUCUUGGCCUAGUCUUUGAGGUUGUGGAUUUCCGGUGGGGUCUGUGGGAUCCAGUCACUGUUGAUCACCUGACAACUGAGCUGUGUCUUCAGGAGAUACAAUCAUGUCAGAAAGUGUCGCUUGGACCUAGUUUUAUUGCUUUGGUUGGCAGUCAGUAUGGACACAGACCCAUUCCACGCCUCAUAUCAGAGAUCGAGUUUGAGUUACUGCUUUCUAAACUUUCCCAGGACCAAGCAGGGUUGACAGUACUUAAGAAAUGGUUCAUCAAAGACGAUAACUCAGUACCCCCUAAAUAUGUCCUUCAGCCAAUUACCACACACUAUCCUCAUUACAAUGAUACAAAACCUGAGAGUAGACCACAGCAUGAUGCUGACAUUUUGUCUUGGAAUCUCACUGAAGCUCGGUUAUUGCAGCUUUUAUGUAGUGCAGCGCUGCAAGCUGAGAAGGAUGGGGACUUCAGUGCAGAGCAGAAGCACAAAUUCUUCAAGUCACUGACAGAAUGGGAGAUGGAGCAGAGUUUUCUUUCAACUCAGGGACAGGACAUGCCUUCACCUGUCAUCUUUGUCAGAGAACUACCUCAUCUGAAGAAAAGUGAAAGCCGUAAGCAUGCUAAGUUCUUGGAUGUCACAGCUGACGGUCUCCUGGACACUGAAGCCCAGGAACUCUUGACUAGUCUCAAACAGCGUAUCUCCAGUGCCUGUUCAAGUCAUCUCACCUUAGAGCUUAGUAAAAAUGCUAUGGAUGUGAAUCGUAAGGAGCACAAGGAGUAUCUGGAGAGAUUCUGUGAACAGAUUGUAGGUCAGAUAAAGGAGAGGAUUGCCAAGCAAACUGCUCCACCAACAGGUCCAGGAUGGCUGUGGAUUCAGCAGGAGCUUUUUCAUCAUGCAAAGCUAAGUAAAGACAAGUGUGCUGCUUUUAUUGGAAGAGAUGGUCCACUGGCAAAGCUCUGCCUUACAAUGUGGGAGUCGACAAACAUACAGCACGCACCACUUGUAGUCUACGGGCCUCCAGGAAUUGGUAAGACUUCUCUGCUGUGUAAACUGGCCCAGGAGAUGCGGACUGUUCUAGAUCCACAAGCUAUGGUUGUUCUCCGACUGCUUGGAACAUCUCCCAUCAGCUCAGAUAUAGACUCUGUCCUAAAGGGAAUUUGUUUACAGAUUUGUGGAGCUUUGGGAUUGGCAAUUCCCUGCCCACAGAUUGCAAACACACAUGAGAAGUUGGUAAGGUUCUUCCAUGCCAUGCUGCAGAAAGUGUCUGAAGAUGGAGAAACAUUAGUUCUAAUUCUGGACUCUUUGGAUGAACUCUCACGGGCCAACAAUGCUCAUAAAUUGCACUGGAUACCUAAAGAAAUUCCUCCUAAUGUACAUUUGGUAGUGUCUACCCUAUAUGAUGGGUCUCCUUUGAAGAGAUUGAAAGCUCUAGUUAGUGAUGAUAAAUGUUUCUUUGAAGUAGAACCACUGAAUUGUGAUCAAGGGCAGGACAUCAUUAAUGCCUAUCUGAAAGUUGCUGGAAGAAAACUUGUGUCUGAGCAAACAGAUGCAAUCACUGGAAGCUUCCAAAAGAGCGGAAGUCUUUUGCAUCUGAAGCUAAUGGUGGACAUGGCAAAGCAGUGGUCAUCCUAUACCUCCAUGUCUGAUAUUCACCUUGGCAGCUCGGUGCAGGAGGCAAUCUCAUUGUUUCUCCAGACACUGGAAAAAAAACAUGGCGAGAAGCUUGUCCGCCAUGCACUGGGUUACAUCACCUUAUCAAGACGUGGCUUGUCUGAGGCAGAACUACGUGAUAUCUUGUCUGUAGAUAAUGAUGUUCUGGCAGAGGUCUACCAAAGCCGGCUUCCCCCGAGCCACACGCUCAUACGCUUUCCUCCUCUUCUUUGGGCACGUCUCAGACAUGACCUAAGAGAUCACCUAGUGGAGCGUUGGGAAAAUGGCAUUAUUGUGUUAGUGUUUUCCCAAAGGCAGUUUACUGACGUUGUGAAGGCAAAGUAUCUUUCUGUGGAGCACCGAGUUCAAAUGCACAGCAUUCUCAGUGAAUACUUCUCAGGUCAGUGGAGCCAGGGCCAGCUCAAACCCAUACUUCUGUCAUCGCUGAGUACCCAGCUGAAUGCUGAUAGAAAGGUGCCGCAUCAGCCCCUAUGGUAUGCUGAAGGAGUGGCGAAUCUCAGAAUGCUGCAUGAACUACCUUAUCAUCUUAUACACGCAGGCAAAUGGGAGGAACUGCGUCACUCGCUGCUAGGCAAUUUGGACUGGUUGUAUUGUAAGACCCUCAGCUGUGGCGUGGCCAGUGUAAUUCAGGACCUGUCACUCUGUGUUGACAUCAUAGACUGUCCUGAGAUCCAACUGAUCAGGGACUGCUUUCUACUGCUAAAGCCUACCUUAGAUUUCAUUGAUGGACACACAGACUCGCCCCUUCUAUUCACUGAGAUCACUGCCAGGCUUCAGGCUCUGGCUCCUGUGUACCCUUCUCUGAUUGGGCGCCUAUGCUCGCAGUGCGACGAUUGGUUUGCUUCCUAUGCAGACCCUGUGCUUGUGCCCAAGAGUAGCUUCUUACAGCCCCCUGGAGGGCCUUUGAUAAACACCCUCAGUGGUUCUGCAAAAGGGAUUACUGCAGUAGAUCUUUAUUUGGAGAGAGAAUUACUGAUAGCAGGUUCACUGGAUGGAGAGUUGAUUGCAUGGGACCUAAAGAGUCCUGAGAUGCUGCAUACAAUUGAAGGACACACAGGUGCAGUGCAAUCAGUGAAGCUUGUAAAAAAAGGUGAACAUUGCUUGUCUACUGGACUUGAUGGCUCUCUUAGGAAAUGGAGUCUUGUCACCGGGAAACAGCUCUACUGCAUUCCCACUGUGGUCUCGGUACAACCCUGGCCUACUGAACAGAUCCUUGUGCUUGAGCCUAAAGCAAUGGUCCUGUCCAACACACAGGGACAAGUCAAAUCAUGGAAUUUGGACACUGGAGAGCUUCUUUAUGAAGUUGAUGUAAAAGGAGAAUGUUCAAUCCUUAGUGCACUGGGGGAGGAUGUGGCAGUCAUGUCCAGUGAUGGCCAAAUCUGGAUCUUUGAUUCAGACACUGGCCUAGAAAAAUCCUACUUUAAGCUCCCAUGCACUCAGGGUUUCACUGUAUCCAGUGUGCUUUCACUCCCCCGACAUGGAAAACUCCUCAUUGCCUCUCAGGAGUGCUCAGUGAAUAUGGUCUCAGCCAGUGGUUCACUAUCUGAUGUUGAGCUCCCUGCACCUGCUUCAUUUAUGUGCACUUCGGAAGAUGAAAAUGUGCUCUUUGCAGGCUGUGACAGAACACUGGCUGUGCUACAUGUGAAUCCAGACUCUGUGCACAAAACCCAGGAGCUCCAGCAUGAAGCCACAGUCUUAUCGGCUGUUUCGUACAGCCAAGGAAGUAAAGUCAUCACUGGAUCUCAGGAUCAAAUCAUACGGGUUUGGGGUUUAGUCACUGGACACCUCCUCGACUCCUUCAGUGGAAUGGGAUCUCCUGUCACCUUUGUGUCUGUGUACAACAGCACAAUCAUCUCAGCCUCAACCAGGUCUGGUCACCUCAAACUGUGGCAGCUGGACUAUGACCCCAAACACAAAAGCCAGACCUGUAUUCCUGCCAACUGCCCGAGGGUGGUAAUAUCCAAAGACGGCAACACGGUCCAUUUCAUCAGAGAAGAGGAACGAGCCAAGGUGUUCGCAUGGAACUGUACUGAAGGUAUGUCCUCCGAUACAAUGGACGUGUGCUCAGAGGUGUGUUGCAUGGAACUGGCACAACAGAAGCAGCUUCUCUUCUGUGGCCUCUGCACUGGUACUGUACUCAUCUACCCCUUAGCCUUUCCCCAAGAGACCUUGUGCCUUCCUCCUCCGGAGAGCUUGCCGACUGUGCGCAGCAUGGCCAUCAGUCCCAGGGAAGAUAAGAUUGCUGUGGCCUAUGAGGAUGCGGUGUGCUUGUUCGAAAUCACAGCAAGAGACAGCUUCCCAUGCGUCGACGGCCCAAUCCAUAACUACUCACUCUCCCUGCUUCAUUCACCUGUAUCAGCCAUGGCUUUGCUGCCCGACUGUAGACUCCUGUAUGGCACUUUUGGAGGGGAGGUGGCAAUCUACGACUUCAAGAGCGCCACAGCAGCAGAGCUGGAUCACCACGGGGCUGCUAUCACCUGCAUCGCACUGGGUAACUGGGAUAAACACGCUCUGGUAGGAUCUGAAGACUGUGUCCAGAAGCUGUGGAAUUUGAGUCCUGUGCUGCUGGACCAUACUAUGGAGUACAAGGGUUUCUACUUCGAGGGCAUUCUGUGUGCAGCCUUCUCUGUAAACGAUAAGUAUGUGUUCACUGGUUCUCAGGACAAAACCAUCAAAGUCUGGGACGUGUCUACAGAAUACAACAGCAACUGAAGGUUAAGGGUCUUACACAAGGACUCAACCAUGGCAGCUUGGCAGUGCUGGGAUUUGAACUCACAACCUUCUGAUCUGUAGCUCAAAGCCUAUACCAGAUCCCUUUUAUACAUCCAGUACGUUUAUGCUGCAGUCAUCAGGAUUACAGCCUACAAAGAUGGGUUUGUAGCCAUUUCACAGCUUGGCUCUUUCAUCAAGGAGGGCUUCCAUUGUCCAAACACUCUGACAUCAGGCUACA